UCGGUUGAAGUAGUUGAGGAACGAGAUGGGCUGUUUAAUGAGAUUGUGCAGAGACGGGGCGAGCUUCUUGUAGCGGGAUUCGGAUGGCUUUUCUUUUAUUACUUACAACACAUUUGAUAUUUAUUCCGUGGUGGACAGAGCGCUCACGGCUUGUAACCUUCUUAUGAAUAAGGAUGCUUUAAAAAGCUACGAUGGACAAAUAUAUUAAGGUGCAAAAGAUUGGUGAAGGAUCUUUUGGAAAAGCAAUUCUGGUUAAAGCAAAGGAAAAUGGCAAACAGUAUGUUAUUAAGGAAAUUAACAUAUCCAAGAUGUCAAAUAAAGAAAGAGAAGAAUCAAGAAGAGAAGUUGCUGUUUUGGCAAAUAUGAAACAUCCGAAUAUUGUUUUGUACAGAGAAUCAUUUGAAGAAGCUGGCUGCCUUUAUAUAGUAAUGGAUUAUUGUGAAGGAGGAGAUCUGUUUAAAAAAAUAAAUGCACAAAAAGGUGUCUUUUUUUCAGAAGACCAGAUCAUGGAUUGGUUUGUACAAAUAUGUUUAGCACUGAAGCACGUACAUGAUAGAAAAAUUCUGCAUCGAGAUAUAAAAUCACAGAAUAUAUUUUUAACCAAAGAUGGAACAAUACAGUUGGGAGACUUUGGAAUAGCUAGAGUUCUGAAUAGUACAGUGGAACUUGCUCGAACUUGUAUAGGAACACCAUAUUACUUGUCACCAGAAAUCUGUGAGAAUAAACCUUACAAUAAUAAAAGUGACAUGUGGGCCCUUGGGUGUGUUCUUUAUGAAAUGUGUACAUUGAAACAUGCGUUUGAAGCUGGUAAUAUGAAAAAUUUAGUUCUCAAAAUAAUCUCUGGAUCAUUUCCUCCUGUUUCUACACGUUAUUCCCAUGAACUUCGGAGUCUGAUUUCACAGUUAUUUAAAAGAAAUCCAAGAGAUCGACCAUCUGUCAACUCCAUAUUGGAGAAAAUGUUUAUAGUUAAACGCAUUGAGAAAUUUCUUACACCACAGCUUAUUGCAGAGGAAUUCAGCCAUAAAAUAUUUCAGAAGUUUGGACCUCAUGCUGGGCCAGCAAAGAGACCAGCCCAAGGACAAAACUUAGCCUCUGCUGCACCUGCUCACAAAAUUACCAGACCUGCUGCUAAAUAUGGAGUGCCUUUAAUACUUAAGAAAUCUGGGGAUUCAACUAAGAAGUUCUGUGAGAAGCCUAUAACUAAAUGUAGACAGGGCCCUCCACCUCCAUUGAAGAAAGGGAAACUACUAGACGAAAGGAGGAAAAUGUUUGAGGAAGCAGUUAAAAAGAAAAGGCUAGAGGAAAAACAACAGUGUGAGCAGAUCAGUGAUAUGAAGGUUGAGCAAAUGAGAAGACUUGGAAAAGAAAGGAUGGAACGAAUAAACAGAGCCAGAGAGCAAGGGUGGAGAAAUGUUCUUAGUAUAGGUGGAAGUAGUGAAAUCAAGGCUCAGUAUUUUGGUGGGGGAGGAGCUAUUGUGCCUUUACCUGUUCCUGGCCGAGGACCAUAUGAACACUACCAUGCUAUUUUUGAUCAGAUACAGCAACAAAAAGAAAAUCUUAAAAUAGAAGGAAAAGAUGUAAAGUUGAAUGUAAAGCCUGGUCUAGAGCCUAAUCAAAGAGGAUCUCCAGCUGGAGUUCAUGCAGGAAUUCAUAAUGGGCCUGCAGCUUACCAUCAUUCAUCUGAUGCAGAUGCUAUUAGGAAAGGAAUGAAAAGAUUGGAGAAGGUCUCUAGACAAGCCAAUGCAAGCAGGCAAAAAGGAUGGAUGGCUGCAGAAAGAGCUAAACAAGUCGAAGAAUUUUGGCAACGGAAGCGAGAAGCCAUGCAAAACAAAGCCCGCGCUGAAGGACAUAUGGACACACUGCAAAACCCGACAGCUAUCUAUGGAGGCAGGUCCAUUUCUUCAAGAGGAAGAAAAGCCAGAAACAAGGAGGAAGAGGAAUACUUGGCAAGACUGAGGCAAAUUAGACUUCAAAAUUUUAAUGAACGCCAACAAAUAAAAGCAAAACUUCGUGGAGAAAAGAAUGAAAACAGUGGUUCUCCUGUCUAUGAAAUAAAUGAAGAAACAGAAUUAAGGCGUAAAAAAAUUGAAGCACUAAAGGUAAUAGUAAAAAAUAAAGGAGAAAAAUAGCUAAGUUGAAAUGGUUGGAUGCAGUUAUCAUAUGCAUUUUACAUGUAGGAAUAACCAGUGCAUAUUAAUAAUUUUCAAAAAAGAAAAGGGCCAGAGCCCUUAGAUUAUUAAAACUACAGGUGGUUCUCAAUUUAUGACUAUAAUUUAGCCCAGAAUUAUCAUCAUAAGUAAUGAUGGUCAUUAAGUACCGUAGGUCACCAUGUGAUCAUGACAAAUUUCAAGAGCACUUCAGAUUCCUAGAUCACUGUUUGCAUUACCUACAAGAAGAGCUUCCGGCAAGGGAUGGGCUGCACCUUGCAAGAACCAGGAAGAAUAUACUUGGAAAACAACUGGCUCAGCUUUACUAAUGGGCUUUAAACUAAAACUAUGAGGGGAGGGUGACCAAUCUUUAGGACCCAAUCCCAAGCAUAAAUCCCAAAAUAAUCAAACAAGGAAGUAGAGCAUGAUGGAAAGAAGGAAAACUCUGACACAAACUAAGAGAUGUAUCAAGCAUACCCUGGGUCAGCCAUAAAGGACUCAGAUGAUUAUAACUAAUGUUCAAGGUUUGGGGAACAAACAGGGUGAACUUGAAGAGCUAGUACAUGAGGACAAGUAUGAUAUAGUUGCCAUUACUGAAACUUGGUGGGAUGAAACUCAUGGCUGUUGGAAGUACAUAAACUGCUAGGUCUAUAAACAGACCUAACAAAAGAGGAGGUGGAUUUGCAUUACACAUAAGAGAUCACUAGAUUUCUAUAGAAAUGCAUAAAACCAAGGACAAAAGCCGCCUAGAAUGCAUAUGGGUUAAUAUUUUUUUUAAAAAAAGAAUGCCAUUAUUAUGUGUAUACCACAGCCACCCAACCAAGCAGAAGAAAUAGAUGAACUUUUUGUUAAUCAGUUAACAAAUGUAUAUAGGAAACACACAACAUUAAUAAUGGGGGAUUUUAACCACCCUAAUAUCAACUGGGAGGCAAAAUCUGCUUCAAGUGGGAGAUUGAACAGGAUGUUGACCAACAUACAGUAAUUGACAACAUUGUCAUCGAAAAGGCAGAGGAUGAAACUAAAGGGACAGCUACACUGGACUUAAUUAUUACUAACAAAGAAAUGAUAGAAGAGUUUGAAAUUGCAGAAAUUUGGUGGGAGAGUGACCCGUGUCAUUUUAGAAUUUAACAUAAUGCAAACACAAGUAAUAGAUGAUAAUCAAACCAGUGUCUUAGACUUUAAAAGAGCUGAUUUUAACAAACUUAGAGUUUGGGAAGGAUACCAUGGAUAAAAAGGGGAAAACAACUCAAGAACCUUGGGAAACUCUGAAAAAUAUGAUUAUAAAAGCCCAUUCCAGCACAAUAGCACUGAAAAAGAAAAAUAAGAAAUCCAAGAAGAAACCAGCAUGGCUCUACAAAGAACUCUGAUAAACUGAAAGAUAAAAAGGACAAGUGUAAAAAGUAGAAAGAGGGACACAUAGCUAAGGCAGCAUAUCAGUAUGUAGCACUAGCACUAGCAAGGUAUCUCCACCUCUGGUGACCCAGAUGAUGCUAUGACUGCCCUCUUGUGUUCCCUGGAGGCUGUGUGUCAAGGUUCCAGAAAUACCUCUUCUGCAUAAAAUAAAGACUCAGAAGCAUUUUUCCCUUUUCCUCUCAGAGUCCUUUACUAGCAUGAGGAGACUGGCACACGAUGAAUGCAAUUCCCCAAACUGAAGUUCCGGAUUCGUUUCCCCAGUUAUACAAACCCCAAUAGUCCCACCCCCCUGACCCCUCUGAUAGUCACACGGUCCCACGUUCCUCCAGUUCAUUCGAGUAACUUCUUGCCACUCGUCCUGCAGACGUGAACGCCAUCCGACCUUGACCCGUUGAAGAAUGCUACCCUAUCCUUCAACCCCCCCUCCUCCCCUCAGGAUAAAAAUGUGGCAGCGUCUGGAAACCUAAAGUUUAAUAUGGUUUCCAGGCCUGACACUGUGGGGGCCUGGAUGGUAGACAACAGGCUUUGACUGAACCCUUGCAAAACCAAGUGGCUUCGGUGCGUGGAGCUCCAAGAUCCAAGACUUUUAACAUCUUUAGUUCUGGAUGGGGUUGCACUACCCUAGACAAAACCUUUCCACAAGUUUUCCGGAACUCAUGACUCCUUUUCAAAGAGCAGGUGGUUAUUACAGCUAGGAGAGCCUUUGCGUAUCUUCAUUUUGUGUGCCAGUUGCAGCCUUUCCUGGGUCAGGAGUCCCUGCCCUCAGUUAUUCAAGCUCUAGUCAUCUUACGUUUGGACUGUUACAAUGAGCUCUAUAUGGGGCUAUCCUAGAAGAGCAUUCAGAAGAUAUAGCUGAUGCAGAGUGCAGUGGUGUGGGCAGUUUUUAGGGCCCCUAUAGUGGCCCAUGUUACACUAUUGCUUUACAAGCUGCACUGGUUGCCAGUCUGCUUCCAGGUACAACUCAAGGUAUUGGUAUUCAUCUUUAAAGCCCUGAUUGGCAUGGGUCCAGGCUGCUUGAAGAACUGUCUCCCACCUGGCAGAGGGGGCUGGCAGAGGGGGCAUGGUGCAGAUUCUAUCAGCCAAGGAAUUUCAGCUGUCAGGCUCCAAGAGAAGAGCCUUUUCUGCUGUGGCUCUUGCCCUCUGGAACACCCUACCCACUGAAGUGAGGUUGGCUCCCUUCCUCCUAUUAUUUUGAAAGAGCCUCAGGACUUGGCUCUGUCUGAUGGUUUGGGUAUCCAAUAGGGGAGCUUCAUACUGGAGGUGGUUGAUUAAUUAAAACCUAAUCCCACCUCCCCACCCCCUGUGUGUCCAGUCCCCGCCUUUCCCAUCUGUUUUUAAUGGUUUGUAAUUGUGAAUUAUUUUAUUUGCUGUAUGCCCUGUCUAUUUUAAAGUCUUUCCUUCUUUAAAGUUUUAUCCUGUAAGUCAUCCAGAGUCAUUGGAUAUGAGAUGGGCGGCAAAUAAAUAAAUAAAUAAAGUGGGAUGCGGCAAACCAGCAUAAAUGUGAACUGGUUAUCAAGCACCCAAAAUUCAGUUGCAUGACCUUGGUGGGGGGGUAUAGCCAUCAGAACUUCAGAACUGGGUCUUAAGUAGUUUUAGGGAGAUCCAUGAUAACUUUGAAGGGUUGCUAGGUAAAAACUAUUAUAUCGGAGAAAAAGAUUCUAGUAUUUGCUCAGCACUGUCAAAAUCUAUACAUGGGAAAAUUAAAGAGACUUCAAUUGAGAAUGUAAUAAUACCUUAGUCUAUUGUCCCAUACCUCUUUAUAUAUAUAAAGUUUAUUGUCAUUGUAUGUAUAUACACAGUAUACCCAUAUAAUUUACCAUGGAGUGUAUAUCUUUCCUACUGGGCUAGUGUUGCUCAGUGUAACUUCACAUUCCCUUUUUCAUUCAAGGGAAUCUCAUUAUAUUCUUUCAGUCGGUAACAUUUUCUUAGUUUAGCCUGUACCUCAGCUUGUUUAUGUUGCCAGUAGUCCUCAACUUACAAUCAUUCAUUUAGCAACUGUUCAAAUUUCUAAUGUUCCUGAAAAAAAGUGAGUUUUAAUCUGUCUUCACACUUAAAAUUGCCAGAGUUGCAGUCAUGUGAUAAUAUUUGGACUCUUGGGAACUGGUAUAUAUUUACAUGGUUACAGGAUCCUGGGGUCACAUGAUCACCAUUUAGAACAGCAGUUCUCAAUCUGUGAAUCGGGACCCUGUUGGGGGUCGAAUGAUGAUUUGCCAGGGGUCGCCUAAGAACAUUGGAAAUAUGGGAAGUAUACUUGCAAGUCGAAGAAUCGCGCUCCAAUGGUUAACUCCACAAGCCAGCUGCAGGCUCUUCAAAUCGCUAGCUGUAUUCGGCUUCAGGCGCGAUGAAUUAAAAAAGAGAGCAAUCUUUGCUCUGAUGUCUCCCUCUCAAGCCAGCUGCAAUCACUCCCAAUCGCUAGCCUAAUCUGGCUUCAGGCACGAUAAACUUAAUAGGGGAGGAGUCUCCACUUUAAUGCCUCUGUCCUCAAGGCAAUCGCAAGCAGUUCAGAUCGCUAGCCAAUACGGCUUCAGACGCGAUAAAUUCAAAACGAAAAUAAUUUUAUGGUUGGGGUCGCCACAUCGUGGGGAAUUAUAUUAAAGGGGUCACCACAUCGUGGGGAAUUGUAUUAAAGGGGUCGCAGCACUAUAAAGGUUGAGAACCACUGAUUUAGAACCUUCGGAGUUGGCUUUGAACAAAGAAAUGCAUAGAAGAAGUUGGAUUUUACUUUAAAUUUUUAAAAUAUUUACGGAAUAUUACUUAAUAUGGAAUAAAUGCUACAAAUGGUUGGAGGACAGGAAUAAUAAGUAAGAAAUUAUAUAAUAGAGAUGAUCUAGAAAUUUGGAAGUAUUAGUAAAAUGGUAUUAAAUAUACAAUGUAUGUAAAGUAAUAUAUAGAUAUAAUAGUAUGUAUAAUAAAUAAGGAGUAGUAUAUACAAUAUAUAAGGAAUAAGGGAACAAGAAAAAUAAAUAUGUGAAUAUAUAAGGGGGGAAAUAUAAAUUGUGGAUAUACACCGAUACAAAACUGUUGUAAAAUGGAAACUUACUUUUUGUUCUUGUUUUUAAAGAAAAACAUAAUAAAAAAAUUAUGGAGAAAAAAAGAAGUUGGAUUUGCUUAAUGACUGUGGCAAAAAGGUUGUAAAAUCAGGCAUGACUCACUUAAUGACUGCCUAACUUAGCAAUGGAUAUAAUAGUCACAAUUGUGGUCAUAAGUCAAGAACUACCUGUACUCAAAUCUUCUCUCUUGCCAAGAUCUUGAACUUGUUAGAACUAAGUUUAUUUGUGCCAUUCUUGGAGCCCCAAAAUAUAUUAAAAUGCCAUGUUACAUUUGAAUAUCAGUUUGGCUCUUAUUCAUCAAUUUUUCAUUAAAAUUAAUUUCCUUUCCUGUAGUUUUGGUUUCUUUGGUCCUUAAGGAUUGCUUUAAAAACAUAACUUAAGAAAGUUCUUUGGUUUUCUCAGACUAUGACUAAGACUAUGGAAAUGUUAGAAAUGCUGUCAAAUAAUAGAUCUUCUAACCAAUCUAACCUUAAUGUCUACUCUUACAAUUUGAGUAAUUCAGGGUUUGGGCCAGCCUCCUCUCUAUCAUCCAUUGUAACAAUGAAAUUUUGUAGAGUGACUGGCACAAAAAGAGUUAUUUUAAGAUUUGAAAUGUGCCAGAUGUAAGUGUUUAGUUUUUUCAUUCAGCAUUAAUUUCUGAUAAAGGAAGAUGCAUCUAUGGUAUUAACCAGCAAGGCACAAAGCCAACAGCUUCUCUAGUUCCUUGUUUGUCAACAACUGUAUCUACACAUUUAUUUUAUUUUAUUUUAUUUAUUUAUUUUGUCACAACAGUAUAUAUAAGCAUAAGCAUGAAAGUAACUAUAUAAUAUAUAAGCAUAUAUAUAAGCCUAAGUAUGUAAUAACUAUAUUAAUUGGAUAUAAUGAAAGGAAACAAUAGGACAGGAACGAUAGGCACAUUUGUGCUCUUAUGCACGCUACUUACAGACCUCUUAGGAAUGGGGUGAGGUCAAUAGUAGACAGUUUUUUGUUAAAGCUUUGGGGAUUUUGAGAAGAGACCACAGAGUCAGGUAGUAUGUUCCAAGCAUUAACAACUCUGUUACAGAAGUCAUAUUUUCUGCAAUCAAGAUUGAAGCAGUUAACAUUAAGUUUAAAUCUAUUGUUUGCUCUUGUAUUGUUGUGAUUGAAGCUGAAGUAGUCUUCAACAGGAAGGACAUUGCAAUAGAUGAUUCUAUGAGUUAAACACAGGUCCUGUCGAAGGCGGUGGAGUUCUAAGUUUUCUAAACCCAAGAUUUCAAGUCUGAUGGCAUAAGGCACAAGCAAAUGCCCGGGCUGCAGUCCUGAAAGAGCAGUUAGAACGAAAGAGAAAAGACGCAUAUGAAAGAGAGAGGAAAGCUUGGGAAGAGCA